AUACGGAGGAUCCGAGCGUUAUCCGGAUUUAUUGGGUUUAAAGGGAGCGUAGGCGGACUAUUAAGUCAGCUGUGAAAGUUUGCGGCUCAACCGUAAAAUUGCAGUUGAUACUGGUCGUCUUGAGUGCAGUAGAGGUAGGCGGAAUUCGUGGUGUAGCGGUGAAAUGCUUAGAUAUCACGAAGAACUCCGAUUGCGAAGGCAGCUUACUGGACUGUAACUGACGCUGAUGCUCGAAAGUGUGGGUAUCAAACAGGAUUAGAUACCCUGGUAGUCCACACAGUAAACGAUGAAUACUCGCUGUUUGCGAUAUACGGCAAGCGGCCAAGCGAAAGCAUUAAGUAUUCCACCUGGGGAGUACGCCGGCAACGGUGAAACUCAAAGGAAUUGACGGGG
rnacentral:rRNA from 1 species